AGGAGAGAAGCCGGGCAGGUGAGCGGAGGCCGCGUCCCUCAGCACCCGCUGCGGCUGCCCCCGGCUCUGUUAAACACCCCUCAGCUCCCAUGGCCCAUGCUGAUUAGCAGAAACAUCUUGCCCAAUUGGGAUGCAAUAAUUUCAAAGCAAGUAAAAGAAACUGCAGCUGCUCAGCUGAGUCAGCCAAAGCAGCAACAGGCUUUUGUGCAGAGUGAAUCACUUGGAAGGCUGAGGAACAUUCUCCAGAGCUCCUGAUUCAUGUCCCCAUGUGCCCCACCACAGGGUCAUGUCCCAGAUCGGAAUCCUCAGUGUUCAUUACUAAAGCGGUCAUGUGCAAGGAGCACAAAACCACUCAUACUUGCAGACUCUAAAGUUGCAGGUUUGUUUCAUAAGAGCCUUUGCUCUGCUGUGCCUUGUGUUCCCUGCCCAGACUAGCCCUGAUCUGCAGGUCACAUAUGUGCAGUGCUGUGCAUGGACUUCAGUUUGAGUUUCGUCUUCAUUUUCUGAGUGGAUUGAUCAAGUGGGUCUGUCUCCGUGAGUCUCCAGGUAGCACCCAAGAACUGCCCAGUACAGGGACAUUCUGCAGAGAAAGCUCAGAAGUUUGUUUUUUUCAGAGGAGCAGGAGAAGCAAUUUAGAAAAUAUGUUUACAGUAAGGAAAACGCAGUUGUUAUGGAAACAUCUGAGACAGGCAGCUGACAUAGGAUAAGACAUGCACCAGAUUAGUAGUACAGAUAGACACAGUAAAAAGGCAAGUUCAUGUAAGAAAGAAAUAUAUAUUACAGAAGAAAUGGAAGUUCCCAAGGAGCUUGGGCUGCAGAAGGAUUCCACGUGCCAACUCUCUUUUCCAUCUCAUUAUCAUAUGCUUGCAAUCAAACUCUAAUUUUUGAGAUAAAAAACCUGCAGGAUUCUUUACUGGGACUAUUAAACCUUCAAUCUUCAUUAUUU